GGGGAAUUUUGCGCAAUGGGCGAAAGCCUGACGCAGCAACGCCGCGUGUGUGACGAAGGCCCUAGGGUUGUAAAGCACUGUGGGAAGGGAAGAAAAAACGGGGGUUGUACCCCGUCUUGACGGUACCUUGUUAGAAAGCACCGGCUAACUCCGUGCCAGCAGCCGCGGUAAUACGGAGGGUGCAAGCGUUGUUCGGAAUUAUUGGGCGUAAAGGGCGUGUAGGUGGCUUGCCAAGUCGGGUGGGAAAGCCCACGGCUCAACCGGGGAACUGCAUUGGAAACUGGCAAGCUCGAGUGUUGGAGGGGGUCGCGGAAUUCCCGGUGUAGAGGUGAAAUUCGUAGAUAUCGGGAGGAACACCAGUGGCGAAGGCGGCGACCUGGCCAAUCACUGACACUGAGACGCGAAAGCGUGGGGAGCAAAC
rnacentral:rRNA from 1 species